rnacentral:rRNA from 1 species
UACGGGUUGUGAGAGCAAGAGCCCGGAGAUGGAACCUGAGACAAGGUUCCAGGCCCUACGGGGUGCAGCAGGCGCGAAACCUCCGCAAUGUGAGAAAUCGCGACGGGGGGAUCCCAAGUGCCAUUCUUAACGGGAUGGCUUUUCAUUAGUGUAAAGAGCUUUUGGAAUAAGGGCUGGGCAAGACCGGUGCCAGCCGCCGCGGUAACACCGGCAGCUCUAGUGGUAGCAGUUUUUAUUGGGCCUAAAGCGUCCGUAGCCGGUUUAAUAAGUCUCUGGUGAAAUCCUGUAGCUUAACUGUGGGAAUUGCUGGAGAUACUAUUAGACUUGAGACCGGGAGAGGUUAGAGGUACUCCCAGGGUAGAGGUGAAAUUCUGUAAUCCUGGGAGGACCGCCUGUUGCGAAGGCGUCUAACUGGAACGGUUCUGACGGUGAGGGACGAAAGUUAGGGGCGCGAACCGGAUUAGAUACCCGGGUAGUCCUAACUGUAAACGAUGCGGACUUGGUGUUGGGGUGGCUUUGAGCUGCUCCAGUGCCGAAGGGAAGCUGUUAAGUCCGCCGCCUGGGAAGUACGGUCGCAAGACUGAAACUUAA